AAUAUACUCCCUUUGUCCCAAAAUUCUUGUCUUAGAUUUGUCUAAAUACGGAUGUAUCAAGUCAUGUUUUAGUAUUAGGUACAUCCGUAUCUAGACAAAUCUAAGACAAGAAUUUUGGGACAGAGGGAGUAGUUA
rnacentral:pre_miRNA from 1 species